rnacentral:rRNA from 1 species
AGGAGAGCUUGCUCUCUGGGUGGCGAGUGGCGGACGGGUGAGGAAUACAUCGGAAUCUACUCUGUCGUGGGGGAUAACGUAGGGAAACUUACGCUAAUACCGCAUACGACCUACGGGUGAAAGCAGGGGACCUUCGGGCCUUGCGCGAUUGAAUGAGCCGAUGUCGGAUUAGCUAGUUGGCGGGGUAAAGGCCCACCAAGGCGACGAUCCGUAUCUGGUCUGAGAGGAUGAUCAGCCACACUGGAACUGAGACACGGUCCAGACUCCUACGGGAGGCAGCAGUGGGGAAUAUUGGACAAUGGGCGCAAGCCUGAUCCAGCCAUACCGCGUGGGUGAAGAAGGCCUUCGGGUUGUAAAGCCCUUUUGUUGGGAAAGAAAUCCAGCUGGCUAAUACCCGGUUGGGAUGACGGUACCCAAAGAGUAAGCACCGGCUAACUUCUUGCCAGCAGCCGCGGUAAUACGAAGGGUGCAAGCGUUACUCGGAAUUACUGGGCGUAAAGCGUGCGUAGGUGGUCGUUUAAGUCCGUUGUGAAAGCCCUGGGCUCAACCUGGGAACUGCAGUGGAUACUGGGCGACUAGAAUGUGGUAUAGGGUAGCGGA